rnacentral:rRNA from 1 species
CUUUCAGCAGGGACGAAGCGCAAGUGACGGUACCUGCAGAGAAGCACCGGCCAACUACGUGCCAGCAGCCGCGGUAAUACGUAGGGUGCAAGCGUUGUCCGGAAUUAUUGGGCGUAAAGAGCUCGUAGGCGGUUUGUUGCGUCGGCUGUGAAAUCCCGAGGCUCAACCUCGGGUCUGCAGUCGAUACGAGCAAACUAGAGUGUUGCAGGGGAGACUGGAAUUCCUGGUGUAGCGGUGAAAUGCGCAGAUAUCAGGAGGAACACCGGUGGCGAAAGGCGGGUCUCUGGGCAACAACUGACGCUGAGGAGCGAAAGCGUGGGGAGCGAACAGGAUUAGAUACCCUGGUAGUCCACGCCGUAAACGUUGGGCGCUAGGUGUGGGGCUCAUUCCACGAGUUCCGUGCCGCAGCUAACGCAUUAAGCGCCCCGCCUGGGGAGUACGGCCGCAAGGCUA